rnacentral:rRNA from 1 species
CUUCGGGAGAAGGCACGCUGACACGUAGGUGAAGUGGUUUACCCAUGGAGCUGAAGUCAGUCGAAGAUACCAGCUGGCUGCAACUGUUUAUUAAAAACACAGCACUGUGCAAACACGAAAGUGGACGUAUACGGUGUGACGCCUGCCCGGUGCCGGAAGGUUAAUUGAUGGGGUCAGCGCAAGCGAAGCUCCUGAUCGAAGCCCCGGUAAACGGCGGCCGUAACUAUAACGGUCCUAAGGUAGCGAAAUUCCUUGUCGGGUAAGUUCCGACCUGCACGAAUGGCGUAAUGAUGGCCAGGCUGUCUCCACCCGGGACUCAGUGAAAUUGAACUCGCUGUGAAGAUGCAGUGUACCCGCGGCAAGACGGAAAGACCCCGUGAACCUUUACUAUAGCUUGACACUGAACACUGGUCCUUGAUGUGCAGGAUAGGUGGGAGGCUUUGAAGUGUGGACGCCAGUCUGCAUGGAGCCAUCCUUGAAAUACCACCCUUUAAUGGCUGGUGUUCUAACGUGGGCCCCUGACCGGGGUUGCGGACAGUGUCUGGUGGGUAGUUUGACUGGGGCGGUCUCCUCCUAAAGAGUAACGGAGGAGCACGAAGGUUGGCUAAUCCUGGUCGGACAUCAGGAGGUUAGUGCAAUGGCAUAAGCCAGCUUGACUGCGAGCGUGACGGCGCGAGCAGGUGCGAAAGCAGGUCAUAGUGAUCCGGUGGUUCUGAAUGGAAGGGCCAUCGCUCAACGGAUAAAAGGUACUCCGGGGAUAACAGGCUGAUACCGCCCAAGAGUUCAUAUCGACGGCGGUGUUUGGCACCUCGAUGUCGGCUCAUCACAUCCUGGGGCUGAAGUAGGUCCCAAGGGUAUGGCUGUUCGCCAUUUAAAGUGGUACGCGAGCUGGGUUUAGAACGUCGUGAGACAGUUCGGUCCCUAUCUGCCGUGGGCGCUGGAAGAUUGAGGGGGGCUGCUCCUAGUACGAGAGGACCGGAGUGGACGCAUCACUGGUGUUCGGGUUGUCAUGCCAAUGGCACUGCCCGGUAGCUACAUGCGGAAGAGAUAAGUGCUGAAAGCAUCUAAGCACGAAACUUGCCCCGAGAUGAAUCUUCCCUGAGCCUUUAAGGCUCCUGAAGGAACGUUGAAGACGACGACGUUGAUAGGCCGGGUGUGUAAGCGCAGCGAUGCGUUGAGCUAACCGGUACUAAUGAACCGUGAGGCUUAACCUUACAAC